UACGUAGGGGGCAAGCGUUGUCCGGAAUCAUUGGGCGUAAAGAGCGUGUAGGCGGCUCGGUAAGUCCGCUCUGAAAGCCCGGGGCUCAACCCCGGGAGGCGGGCGGAUACUGUCGAGCUAGAGUCCGGAAGAGGCGAGUGGAAUUCCUGGUGUAGCGGUGAAAUGCGCAGAUAUCAGGAGGAACACCAGUGGCGAAGGCGGCUCACUGGACUGGUACUGACGCUGAGGCGCGAAAGCGUGGGGAGCAAACAGG
rnacentral:rRNA from 1 species